GACGAACGCUGGCGGCGUGCUUAACACAUGCCAGUCGAACGGAAAGGCCCUGCUUUUGUGGGGUGCUCGAGUGGCGAACGGGUGAGUAACACGUGAGUAACCUGCCCUUGACUUUGGGAUAACUUCAGGAAACUGGGGCUAAUACCGGAUAGGAGCUCCUGCUGCAUGGUGGGGGUUGGAAAGUUUCGGCGGUUGGGGAUGGACUCGCGGCUUAUCAGCUUGUUGGUGGGGUAGUGGCUUACCAGGGCUUUGACGGGUAGCCGGCCUGAGAGGGUGACCGGCCACAUUGGGACUGAGAUACGGCCCAGACUCCUACGGGAGGCAGCAGUGGGGAAUAUUGCACAAUGGGCGGAAGCCUGAUGCAGCAACGCCGCGUGCGGGAUGACGGCCUUCGGGUUGUAAACCGCUUUCACCUGUGACGAAGCGUGAGUGACGGUAAUGGGUAAAGAAGCACCGGCUAACUACGUG
rnacentral:rRNA from 1 species